rnacentral:lncRNA from 1 species
GGACAUUUACUGACCUUCUGGUGAAGGCGAUCCCCCACUCACUGUCUUGACAGGGUCACAGUGAGAAUAAGUGCUGGCAAAGCCGCUCUCCCACUGUCUUGACAGGGUCACAGUGAGGAUGGAUGCUGGCAAAGCCACGCUGGUUGGUGGGAAACCGAAACCAUGAGACUCUUUUUUAUGUAAUUGGGACUUUUCAUUUUCAUGCUUAUGUUUCUGACAGGAGGCAUGAGUAUGUUAAAUGCCAAACAAAUUAAAUUUCAGAUGGCUAGAACAUAACAGGUAGUUCAUGCCUUGAAGGCUGUUCUACUACCCCUCAGCAUAUCAAGGACAAAGUAGAAGGCUGUUCUUCUAUCUCAGUACAUUGAGGACAAAUCUGAUAAUGGACAACAAUCAUUUUCUGAAAGGUCAUGAGAAUUUUAGGCACCACAUUGAUUAUAUCAACUAGAACCCAAGCUCAUAUUUCCGGCCUCUUAGAAAACCUAAUUAUUAUGCUUAUUUUACAAAGCCCACUAUAUGUAGUCUCAUUUUUGAUUGAGGAAAGUUAUAUUAUACACUUAGGAAAGUUAAGACAUAUAAAGAUAUAUUCUUCUCUUUUUAUAAACCUUUUUUUUUACUUUACAUAGGAAUUUAUGAUGAGUAUAGUUAAUAUUGGUGGAAAGUGGAUUAAUGUUUAGAACUUACUUUCUAUUGAGAAAGAUUAUAAAGAUAUGAGAACUAGUGCACCUUGACUGAGAAACAAAGAAACUCUUUGAGAAAGCAGCUCAACCAGUUUUAUGAGAAUAAAU